UACGAAGGGUGCAAACGUUGCUCGGAAUUAUUGGGCGUAAAGCGCACGUAGGCGGCUUUGCAAGUCGGAUGUGAAAUCCCUCGGCUCAACCAAGGAAGUGCAUCCGAAACUGCAGAGCUUGAGUACCAAAGAGGAUCGCGGAAUUCCCGGUGUAGAGGUGAAAUGCGCAGAUAUCGGGAAGAACACCCGUGGCGAAGGCGGUUCUCUGGGACGGUACUGACGCUGAGACGCGAAAGCGUGGGGAGCGAACAGG
rnacentral:rRNA from 1 species